UACCUGCAGCUCAAGUAGUGACCACUAUUAUUGGGCCUAAAACGUUCGUAGCCGGUUUGGUAAAUGCCUGGGUAAAUCGUGUAGCUUAACUAUACGAAUUCCGGGUAGACUGCCAAACUUGAAACCGGGAGAAGCUAGAGGUACUCCUGGGGUAGAGGUGAAAUUCUGUAAUCCUAGGGGGACCACCAGUGGCGAAGGCGUUUAGCUAGAACGGGUUUGACGGUGAGGAACGAAGCCCUGGGGCGCAAACCGGAUUAGAUACCCCGGGUAGUCCAGGGUGUAAACGCUGCUUGCUUGAUGUUAGUUGGGCUCCGAGCCCAAUUAGUGUCGGAGAGAAGUUGUUAAGCAAGCUGCCUGGGAAGUACGAUCGCAAGAUUGAAACUUAAAGGAAUUGGCGGGGGAGCACAGCAACGGGUGGAGCGUGCGGUUU
rnacentral:rRNA from 1 species